AACAGAAAUUCAAAAGACUACUUAGAAACCUCAAAUCACGCUGUUAUUUCUUGUAGAGGCAUGGAGAUGAUUAGGAGAGAUAGCAGUGGAGUUUUUAACCAGAUUGUUUAACAAAAUCUUGCAAAGUGAGAGGAUGCCUGAGGAGUGGAGAAGUAGUGUACUGGUACCGAUUUUUAAGAAUAAAGGAGAUGUGCAGAGCUGCAGUAACUACAGAGGCAUAAGGCUGAUCAGCCACACCAUGAAGUUAUAGGAAAGAGUAGUGGGGGCUAGGCUGAGAGGAGAGGUGAUGAUCUGUGAGCAGCAAUAUGGGUUCAUGUUUGCUUUGAGAAUGUUGAUGGAGAAGCACAGAGAAGGCCAAAAGGCGUUGCAUUGCGUGUUUGUGGAUUUAGAGAAAGCGUAUGACAGGGUGCUGGGAGAGGAGAUGUGGUACUGUAUGAGGAAUUCGGGAGUGGCAGAGAAGUAUAUGAGGGUGGUGCAGGAUAUGUAUGAGGGCAGUGUGACAUUGGUGAGGUGUGCGGUAGGAAUGACGGACUGGUUCAAGGUGGAGGUGAGAUUGCAUUAAGGAUCAGCUCGUAGCCCUUUCUUGUUUGCAAUGGUGAUGGACAGGUUGAGGGAUGAGAUCAGACAGGAGUCCCCAUGGACUAUGAUGUUCGCAGAUGAUAUCACGAUCUGUAGUGAGAGUAGGGAACAGGUUGAGAUGAGCCUGGAGAGGUGGAGGUACGCACUGGAGAGAAGGGGAAUGAAAGUCAGUAGGAGCAAGAUGGAAUAAAUGAGUUUGAAUGAGAGUAGAGGUGGUGAAGGUGGAUGACUUUAAAUACUUGGGGUCAACUGUCCAAAGUAAUGUAGAGUGUGGUAGAGAAGUGAAGAAGAGAGGGCAAGUAGGGUGGAGUGGGUGGAGAAGAAAGAGACGCUUCACAAGCGUGAAGGGGAAAGUUUACAAGACGGUAGUGAGAUCAUCUAUGUUGUUUGGUUUGGAGUUGAAGAUGCUAUUAGCAGGUAACUUGCUUCAUGUGUUUAUGGUCACCAGAUGUCAUACUUUUCUGCGUAUGGUGUAAAUGUAAUAUAGAUCAGUGGCCGUGCAGUGGUCAUCAUUUGUAGCUCAGUGGUUAAGGCUCUAGGUUACUGAUCAGAAGGUCUAGAGUUGAAGCCCCAGCACCGCCAUACUGCCACAGUUUAAUGGCCAGGUUUUCAUGUUUUGCUUCCAUAUGUCUUUUAAGAAAGCUGCUUCAAACUUACCACACACAUGGGAAAGUCUUUGGUCUCAUCACUGUCUGUCCUGACGCCAUAGACCGUUAAUGCCUUAGCCCAUUGACCUAUUGUCUUUCAUACGUGCAGGUGUUGGUGAGUAUAUAGUGACUGGUGGUGGUGGAGAUUGUGAAACUCUGCUGAGACAGUAGCCCAAGCUCCAGAGUCAAACCAGGGACUCUGUGGACAGGGGUGUCCAAACUUUUGUCAUUGGGGGCCGGAUGGAAGGGGGGAAAAGUGCAGUCACGGGCCACAGUCUAUGCAAGUAUACGCAUACUGGGAUGGCAGUGUCCUCUACAGUGACAACUACCUGUCUGAUGGGGAUAAUACAACUUUUCCUGGCCCUCUGAUGAGCUGAGACCUUCUUUCUCCUGAAGACAAAGAUAAUACACACAAGCUGAACAUUAAAUAUGCAUACUAUUUAAGCAGUAAUGUUUUGAAACAUAUCAUCAGGUGGGCAGAGGGUAUGUGCAGUAAUCUAUAUCCAUCUGUUGCAGCAAUAAUAUGCAGGAGGACCUGGUUCAUUUUAUCCAGAGGAAAGCUCAGGAGUAUCUACAACAUGUGGAUAAACCUGGCCAAAAGGAGGCCUAUUUCUUCUGGCAGAUUAGGGAGCUGCUCUGUGAUAGAAAUGGAGGUGUAAUACUAGCUGAAGUUCCUACACUCCUCUUCAAGGGCUAUGGAUUUCUGAGGAAAAAGCGCUUGGUGGGGUUAAGAUCCAGGAUGGCUGGUGUCUUCCUCUGGCAUGACGUUUAUGCUCCGCUGAACCACAAUACAAGCACCUAAACGCUGUGGUUAAAAUGGGAGAAAAGCUUGACUGUGAAGGACUGACCUAUGCAGCACAUAUCUGCUACAUGGUGGCAUUGGAGGAGCUGCAAACAUUUCAGGGAUCCAGCUUUGAUCUGAUUGGAUGUGACAGGUAUUUGUAGGACCAGAGGAUUUACCAGAUUCUGGAAUUUACCAGAGGAGUUUGAUUCACGGUACACUCCAGGAGAGCUGCUACAAGAAGAAGGCUUCGGAUCUGUCUGUGCAGGAAUAUGUAAAGCAGAUGGC